rnacentral:tRNA from 1 species
AGCAUCGUGGACGAGUAGAUAAGUCGCUGUGCCUCUCAAGCAUGGAGAAGCGGGUGCAACUCCCGUCGAUGCUCCCA